rfam:Echinostoma caproni strain Egypt genome assembly, scaffold: ECPE_contig0006835
GGUUCAGUGGUGUAGUGGUUAUCACGUCCGCCUCACACGCGGAAGGUCCCCGGUUCGAGCCCGGGCUGAACCA